UAGGGAAUCUUCCGCAAUGGGCGAAAGCUUGCCGGAGCAACGCCGCGUGAGUGAUGAAGGUCUUCGGAUCGUAAAACUCUGUUAUUAGGGAAGAACAAAUGUGUAAGUAACUAUGCACGUCUUGACGGUACCUAAUCAGAAAGCCACGGCUAACUACGUGCCAGCAGCCGCGGUAAUACGUAGGUGGCAAGCGUUAUCCGGAAUUAUUGGGCGUAAAGCGCGCGUAGGCGGUUUUUUAAGUCUGAUGUGAAAGCCCACGGCUCAACCGUGGAGGGUCAUUGGGAACGGGAAAACUGGAGGGGAGAAGAGGAAAGUGGAAUUCCAUGUGUAGCGGUGAAAUGCGCAGAGAUAUGGGUAAACACCAGUGGCGGAGGCGACUUUCUGGUCUGUAACUGACGCUGAUGUGCGAAAGCAUGGGGAUCAAACAGG
rnacentral:rRNA from 1 species